CAGCCGCCGCGGGAAUACGAAGGGUGCAAGCGUUAAUCGGAAUUACUGGGCGUAAAGCGUGCGUAGGCGGUUUGUUAAGUCUGUUGUGAAAUCCCCGGGCUCAACCUGGGAAUGGCAGUGGAUACUGGCUCGCUAGAGUGUGUCAGAGGAUGGUGGAAUUCCCGGUGUAGCGGUGAAAUGCGUAGAGAUCGGGAGGAACAUCAGUGGCGAAGGCGGCCAUCUGGGACAACACUGACGCUGAGGCACGAAAGCGUGGGGAGCAAACAGGAUUAGAUACCCGCGUAGUCCCUGUCUCUUAUAC
rnacentral:rRNA from 1 species